rnacentral:rRNA from 1 species
AUUGAACGCUGGCGGCAGGCCUAACACAUGCAAGUCGAGCGGAUGAAGGGAGCUUGCUCCUGGAUUCAGCGGCGGACGGGUGAGUAAUGCCUAGGAAUCUGCCUGGUAGUGGGGGAUAACGUCCGGAAACGGGCGCUAAUACCGCAUACGUCCUGAGGGAGAAAGUGGGGGAUCUUCGGACCUCACGCUAUCAGAUGAGCCUAGGUCGGAUUGGCUAGUUGGUGGGGUAAAGGCCUACCAAGGCGACGAUCCGUAACUGGUCUGAGAGGAUGAUCAGUCACACUGGAACUGAGACACGGUCCAGGCUCCUACGGGAGGCAGCAGUGGGAAUAUUGGACAAUGGGCGAAAGCCUGAUCCAGCCAUGCCGCGUGUGUGAAGAAGGUCUUCGGAUUGUAAAGCACUUUAAGUUGGGAGGAAGGGCAGUAAGUUAAUACCUUGCUGUUUUGACGUUACCAACAGAAUAAGCACCGGCUAACUUCGUG